CCUUCUUGAUAUUUACUAAAAUGGUAAGGAAUUUAAGCCCUAAAACCGAUUACUGUAUUGGCGGACUAAUACUACAGCUGGUGGACCGCCAAAUGCAGGCGAAAACAUGUUGGGAAAAUUCAUAAGGAAUUCGUUGACUGGGGGUUUGCUCGUUAGCCAAAGUGAAGAAUCUUAUGGAAGGUAAUUCGUUAACCGAGGGAUCACUGUAUAUGUUAGUUGAACGAAAGGUGUUGUCUCUCUCUCUCUCUCUCUCUCGUUUAUCUUACUGUGGCAGUAACACCUAGUAAGGUAUUUUGCCUGUAUAUACAGUAUACAUACUUCAAUAAAUUUCACUUGCUUUUCAUUUGUUGUUUCUUUUCAUUACCCAACUUGUACUAUUUACAGAGUAUUUUAAAGGUAGGGUGAGGUAGUUAUGAAGUGGGUUAGAGGUGUUUAUUUAUUUAAUCCUAACCUAAUCACCUGUGGUUUGGCAAAAUCACUAAUCUGGCACUGCUCAGGACCCAAUCAGACCGGAUUUGAGAUGUACGGUAGUUCAAUGGUGGAUAUUAAUAGAUAUUUGGUCGUUUUACAGUACUGUACAGUAUCUAUUUAUUUAUUUAUUUUUUAUUUUUUUAAUGGACAUGGCCAUGUACUGUAACCUAUGUGUCUUUAGUGUUUAUUACUGCACUGUCUAACAACUAACAUGAUUAACAGUGAUGGUCUAUGAUGGGUCGAGGGAGGCGUCUGGCCCUUGGCAUCUUUGUCCUGCUGGUGGUCGACGUCAUUUGGGUGGCUUCAUCAGAAUUGUCGGAGUAUAUCUUCAAUGAUACCGGCUUCAAUAAACCUUUUUUCAGUACAUACUUAAAGACCAGUAUGUUUUCACUAUAUUUGCUGGGAUUUAUAUUUUGGAGCCCCUGGAGACACCAAUGUGCCCAAAGAAACCACGAUGAGAGUAUUUACCAGGUAAGUUAUUUAUUGCAAUUCAUAUUAGAUUAUUUUUUUGAUAUUUUUUAUAUGUGAUAUGGAAAUAAAUUUAUUUUAGGGUAAUUGUGUUGCUCUUUUUUCUGUGUUAACUAGACUUGAGUCAUGCUAUACAUACUGUAGAAUAUUUACUGAUUACAAAAGGCAUUGGUUAUUCCUUUUAUUUCCAAGGCCUCCAGACCACCAUUUUAUUUCAUAACUUUGCCUUCUCUUUCCCCCUUAUCCCCUUCACUUCCUCUUGUGCUGAAUAGAAUCAUCUGGCAUUAGCCAAAUGAAAUAUUUAAGAGACAAUGAAGGGGUUAAUACAGUAAAACCUUUAUCGUUUAUCAAUCAAUACUUUACAAAUUGGCUAGUUCAUACAUGCAGUUCAAUGUGUGUUAUGUUCACCAAAAAUUAAAUAUUUUACACUUCCAUCAAUAUUGCAAAAUAUAAAAUUAAAAAUAUAAGAAAAUGUGUUCAACAAAAAACAAUAGCAAAGCAAGUAGUGAUGUACAGUAUGUUCAUUGUACAGCCCAUUCUUCCUGCAUCACCUGAAGAGGCACUGGGAGGGAGUGUAUAUUAAUAUGAAGUGAAAAAUGUAUUGUCAAAGCACUUGGUCAGUAAUGUGUCCAAAUUUAAGCUUUCUAGCUCAAAAAUUUCCAUAAAUAACAUCCAGACAACAUUAAGUGUUGAGUUGAGUAUGCUUCUAAUAUUCUCUUGCUAUUACAGGAAGUGGAUUCAAUGGAGGAUGAAGAUUUACCGCUGUCAGACGUUUGACGAGAGACAGGCGCACCCCUCCACCUGUGCCCAUCUUCACUUUGGACCAGCUGGCAUCUAGUGUUGCGAGAGACAGUGAUGCGAAUGCUCAACUGACACAUUUGGUCCUGUGGCACUAUUUACCCAUUCAACAAGCUAGAACGAUUUAUAACAACAAUGAUGAAAAGGUGUCUCUAAAUUAUUUUUGCCAGUCAUAUGUUCAGGAGUUGUUAGCAUUCAAAGAUAUGAAGUUAAGAAUGCAUUAUAGGAAGAAAAUUUUGUUGAAGAAUUGGAAAAUAAAUUGGCAUUCAACUCAAAAAUUAAAACAAAUAUUUAUUGGGGUUUAUGAUGAUAGAAAUAUGAAAAAUGAGGGAGUGAAUUUAGAACUUAAAUGAGAAUAAAUUGCGUGUGAAAUGUAAAAUCUACUUUUGGGGGAGGAUUAGUAGUUGUGUGUGUGAUCUGUUGUAUCAGGUCAUUAGGGUAAAGUACAAUGAUGAAAUUUUUAAUAAAAUUUUUAGUUAUAGAUUUUGUUGAAAAUAAUAAUGUGUGAAAGAAAUUCACCAUUGUUGUAAUGUUCUGUGAGAGGGAAGUUGUACUGAAGAUAGAAUUAUAUUUGUUGAAUGUGUGUUUAACAGUUUUGAUAAUAAGAAAGUAUAAGUUAAAGGUAUAUUACUGUAAGGAAUGACAUUUUUAGGAUAUCUAAUGAAGGGGAAAUUCGGAACUGAAAAGGUCCGCUCCAGUCUAUUAUAUUGUUGUGUGUACUUUACAUAAAAUGGAUAAAAACUUUGA